rnacentral:rRNA from 1 species
CAUAGCGACUAUCGUGGCAUAUCAAUAAGCGGAGGAAAAGAAACUAACUAGGAUUCCCUUAGUAACGGCGAGUGAAGCGGGAAGAGCUCAAAUUUGAAAUCUUCAAGGUUUACCUUGACGAAUUGUAGUUUAUAGAAGUGUUUUCUGUUAGUAGGAGUGGCAAAAGUUCUUUGGAAUAGGACAUCAUAGAGGGUGAGAAUCCCGUAUUUGGUCAUUCCUUCUAGCGUUGUGAUACACUUUCAACGAGUCGGAUUGUUUGGGAAUGCAGUCCAAAAUGGGUGGUAAAUUUCAUCUAAAGCUAAAUAUUGGCGAGAGACCGAUAGCGAACAAGUACCGUGAGGGAAAGAUGAAAAGAACUUUGAAAAGAGAGUUAAACAGUACGUGAAAUUGUCAAAAGGGAAGCGUUUGACACCAGUGUUGUUUUUCCGAAAAUCAAUUACGAAUGUUUUGUUUUUGAGGAGUUAUGACUUCAUCGGCUUGCUUCUUUCUUUACGAAACUUUCUUAAUGCACUUUUCGGUUAACAAGUCAACAUCAAUUUCUUUUGUUGUAAAAGGGUAUGAGGAAGGUGGCUCUCUUUUCGGAGAAAGUGUUUAUAGCCUUGUAGCCUCUGCAAUCGGAGAGAUUGAGGUCUGCAGCGUAGAUCCUUCGGGGUUAGAUACGUAGAUGCUAAGUUAUAGUUUUUCAUAGACAACUUGUUGACUAUGAUUAGUCAUGUAGCUUACUCGUUGACGCUAUUUUACCUACGCUUAGGAUGUUGAUAUGCAUGACUGAUAU